UACAGAGGGGGCAAGCGUUGUUCGGAAUUACUGGGCGUAAAGGGCGCGUAGGCGGCCUGUUAAGUCGAACGUGAAAUCCCCGGGCUCAACCCGGGAACUGCGUCCGAAACUGGCAGGCUCGAAUCCGGGAGAGGGAUGCGGAAUUCCAGGUGUAGCGGUGAAAUGCGUAGAUAUCAAGAGGAACACCUGAGGUGAAGACGGGUUGCUGGGCUGACACUGACGCUGAGGCGCGAAAGCGUGGGGAGCGAACAGG
rnacentral:rRNA from 1 species